AAAGUUUCACUAGCACCCUCCUAUUUUUGUAUAGUAUAUAAAAAGUACCCUAAAGUUAUACAUUUUGUUUCAAAUUAACCCCUCAAAUUUGUAUAUUGUAAUUCAUGACCAUCAAUCAAAUCUUUCAUUUGACUUCAUAUCAUCCCCUCCAAGCUAUGUGAUUUUGUUGGAUUCUGUCAUUUUGCAUCCAUUUAGUAAACACUAUCAUAUAUGAUUCUAUGCAAAUUUUGAUAUGAAGAAAGUCAGAGAACAAGUAUAAACUUUUUUGGUUGCUUUUGUUCCUUGUAACAGACACUCUUCUCACCUCUCUGUGGCCUCACCAUCUCAGCCGUUAUACAUUUAAUAUGAAAUAAAUCCAUCAACAAGUAUGGAAAUAAAGAUCUCAUGCUUAGUGGAACAAGAUGUAACAACUCUUCAAUUUAUGAACUAACAUUGACUCAUCUUUAACACUCACUACUCAGGUCACGAAGCAAAGAUACAACAACCUCUGUGUAACCAGUUGCAUGAAAAAACUCUAGCCCAUUCAAAAUAAUAAAUGCUGUAUUGAUCAUCACUUGGUUGGUGGUGCUGGUUAAUA